rnacentral:rRNA from 1 species
CCCUUAGAUGUUCUGGGCUGCACACGUGCUACACUGGCAGGUUCAGCGAGCUUCAUGCCCUGAUCUGAAAGGAAUGGGAAAUCUUUUCAAAACCUGCCGUGCUUGGGAUAGAUGUUUGCAAUUAUUCAUCUUCAACGAGGAUUGCCUUGUAAGCGCACGUCAUCAGCGUGCAUUGAAUACGACCCUGUAUUCUGUACACACCGCCCGUCGCUCCUACCGAUUGAAGUUUUCGGUGAGUUGACAGGAGGAUUUUUUUGAAACUGGUUCGCCGGUGGAUUUUAGAUCCAAAUGCCAACGAAUCGAUGGCUUUAGAGGAAGGAGAAGUCGUAACA